rnacentral:rRNA from 1 species
GACGAACGCUGGCGGCGUGCUUAACACAUGCCAGUCGAACGGAAAGGCCCUGCUUUUGUGGGGUGCUCGAGUGGCGAACGGGUGAGUAACACGUGAGUAACCUGCCCUUGACUUUGGGAUAACUUCAGGAAACUGGGGCUAAUACCGGAUAGGAGCUCCUGCUGCAUGGUGGGGGUUGGAAAGUUUCGGCGGUUGGGGAUGGACUGGCGGCUUAUCAGCUUGUUGGUGGGGUAGUGGCUUACCAAGGCUUUGACGGGUAGCCGGCCUGAGAGGGUGACCGGCCACAUGGCGACUGAGAUACGGCCCAGACUCCUACGGGAGACAGCAGUGGGGAAUAUUGCACAAUGGGCGGAAGCCUGAUGCAGCAACGCCGCGUGCGGGAUGACGGCCUUCGGGUUGUAAACCGCUUUCGCCUGUGACGAAGCGUGAGUGACGGUAAUGGGUAAAGAAGCACCGGCUAACUACGUG